GUGUGUGUGUGUGUGUGUGUGUGUGUGUGUGAGGAUUUUUUUCCCUCCAUGAAUCCCCCGUUAUGUUUCUUCGUUGCAUCAUUAUCAAAGUGUACUAUCUUUUUACUUGUAUGCAUUUAUAAUGUGUUAUAGAAUCAGUAUUUCCAAAGAAGGAACAAAGGAAAUAUUAAAUAGCUUCAUUUGAACCUUCAUUGAUCGGCAUAACUAUAACAAAUGCUAUGUGCACAUAUUCAGUAAGUAGCAGUGAAUUACAAUAUACACGUAUGUGUCAUUUUAAAAUGCGUCACUUUGAAAUGAUGUAGUAAAGUGAAUUAAUUAUGAUUUUUUCUUAUCCACGAAGGUCUUCUUAAAGUCUAUAAAAUACAUGUCAAAUAUUUUAUUGAACCACAGCGAAAAGCAUAACUACCCCCAUCUCACUCACACUACAGUGAAUAGGAGAGCAUUACCUUUAAAAAAUGUCUCAUUCAAGCACGAAGAAUGACUCCAAAAAGCCCCAGCGCAGAAGCAUGCACUGUACAGGCUCGGAAUGUGCUUUAAAAUGCCUUUUGAAAUAUAUAUAACAGCCUAUCUGAGCCGGCCUGAAAACGCACUUAACUGGUGAGGUGUCGGCCGGGCGGGAUGACGUGGAAUCACUGGACGUCACCACGGAGCCGAAGAGGAGACAAACCGAGACCAGAGAGAAUCAAAGCGAGCCGUUACUUUUCCCUCGUGUGGCCCCGGAGUGGCUGCUUUUGAUCGUACGCGUGCGUGAUUGUGUGCGUUCUUGAGUGCGUUACUUCAUUUGCUCUGUCUGAGUGUCGUUGUGUUUAUUUGUCUCAAUGUGUCUCUCCCCCGUUUGUGUGGGCGAUAGUGAGCCAGGGAAAGAAAAAGAGGGCGAUGUUCUCGAGCAUGCACUGACAUGUCACAUCGUGUUUGUCACAUUGGAAGGGAGAGCACCCAAAGUCUCUGGUGCCCUGACCCUGCAGCUGGGUGGUGGUGUCUCGCCGUAGCCACACAAUGUCUUCAGGUACUACGGGGCUGCAGAUCACUGACCGCCCCCCCAGUAGACCCACACCUGGAGCGCCCAGCACCGGUCCUCUGCUCUAUUGUAUAUGAGGACCGGUGUUGUUUGUGUGGGCAAGUCUAGCUGUGUUUAUUGUGCAUGACAUCUCCCUCCCCGCAUGUCAAAAAUUGCAAUCAGCGAGGUUACGCACAAACUCUGCAAAAUAACGCUGAAAUGCUUCAGGUUUGGAGUUACAGGAGGUUGUUGAUCUAUGAAGAGGGGUGAUUGCGGGUGAAUUGUCGGCUCUCUCUGUUCACUACUUAACAGGUGCAGGAGUUAGAGCUUCAGUCACCUUGGAGACAAGGAUUUGAAAGGCCAGACAAACCGGCUCCAGGAUCGGGUGGGUUAAUGGAAAAAGGCUAAACUUUACCUGUAAAGUGCCUUCUGCCACUUUAGAAAAUGACAUUUUUUGAUGGGCUACACUUUCCUGCGAGAAAAUAUAAAAGAGAUUACCUCUUUGUGUUGCAUUUUGUUUUGUGAAUAUAACUGUGUGUGUGCGUGUGUGUGUGUGUGUGCGCGAGCUGUAUAGAACAGCUCCACUGUAGCUGUUCUAUACUUUUAUACUACCUGUAUUCUUCUUCACCCAGAAACACAAACUGUGCACUGUACAUGCUGGUAGAAGAAAAUAAGACUCGAAUGAAUACAUCCCAUUUACAUUGUAUACAUUUGUAUAAAAUGCUAAUAUACAGCAAUCCCAAUGGGCCAAGGGGUUCGGAGGGCUGCAGCCGAGUGCUUCAACAGGAAGGAUGGCAGCUAUUGGACCCAGUUAGUCAUGGGACAUGGGAGGAGAUGCAGAAGGGAAAAGACAGCAGGCUAUUGUUUUAUUAGAUGUUUUGGAUCAUUUAAUUGCAGUGUGUUUAAAAAUAAGCACGUCUUCAGGUUCUUAGUGAGGGAAAUUCAACCAAUUUAUUUUCCACAAAUUGAAAUGUCUUCAGAAUCAUGAUCAGAACUGUAUUAUUGUCUUUAAAUACACAUUAACAUGAAUCCAACAUAUUGUAGCGAACGGAUAGAUUGAUGGAGAAGACGUUAUCUUUCAGUCCGCAACACACACAUCCAGAUUCCCACAGCAGCUCUCAAGCUUUGGGCACCGCUUCACUCACAGCUCCUUUCAUGCGAGUACGACAGCGCAGGCAGCAGCCAAUCAGAUCGCGUUUAUGCUCACCACUAAAGAGCGUGAUGCUCAAAAACAAGAUGGCUUGUUUGGGGGACCUUGCCCUGAAAAACGUUGAAGACCCCUGCUCUAGCCUAUAGCUUUCUAUGUUAUACUGUAGAUUUGAAUGAACAUGUCUUUUUUCAUGUUAUGUUAUUUGUCUUGUUGUCUAUUGUCUCACCGUCUUACUGUCCAAUGUUAUGCACCAACCGCCAUGUCAAAGUCCUUGUAUGUCUGAAAUAUCUCGGCAAUAAAUGUUCCUGAUUCCUGAUCUAGUAUACACCAAAUGACACAUCACAAAAAAAUCAUAUUUUUUCCUGCCGAAUCCAGGCGCAUGAGCACGCAGGGGCGUUCCGGUGUUUUGCUGACCUCACCUCUGAGCUCCAACACCAGUCAAAGCAAUUACUCAAAUAAGCCUCGGCAGCUCAUUCCUGUGAGAGACGAACAGACGUGCCAGAUACCUUCGCAAUUCUAAUUGAGAGACAGAAAUCUUUUUGCACUCGCGCUCCCACGCCAGCCUCUUCUCGCAGUUUGAGUUCUGUUUGCUGCCGCCUCAUUUGCCCUUCAUAUGAAUUAAAUACGUCAGUUCUUAAAUAAGAGGCCGUAGAAACAGGUAAAAGAGCUAUUGUCAAUUGGACGUGCAGGCAUAAAUGAACGCUAAUCUGCUGAAUGUGCUGAUGACUGGAUACGUUCGCUCCACCAGCUUUAGAAGAGGAUAAAGUCUCAGUAUUGUUUUCACAAAUUGGUCCCAGAGUGGCUGUGGAAAUAGCUCACGCAUGUUUAAAACUUAAAGAUAAAAUGCCAGGAAAGUAAGGUGACGUUAACUAUAAAUAUGGUGUCUGCCUUGAAUAAAAUAUGUAAAUUAUUAUUAGUUCAGGAAUUUACACAGUGAUGAGUAAUUUACCUGAUUUCUGGCGUUAAAGGCAAGUGUAUUGUGUCCUGCCAAAAAUGCCAUCAGUGAGCUGCUAUAAGAAUCCUCUGUAGGAUGAUUGAGUUGUAACAGUAGCCACAACUCUUAAUGUGUCCCUCUUUUUAGCACUUGACUGAAUAAUUUAUGCAGGAGUAAAACGAUCAGCUGCAAAGCUUUUAGAAUCAAGCGCUAUUUCCAUUUUUGCAACAACAUACUGGAGGGGUCAUGACCUUUGCCUUGUUGUACAAAACCAGGUAAAAAGACGGAUCUGUGAAUAAAAAAAUAGAGAAGCUGCAAGAUGUUGAGGCAGAAAGAUAGUCAAAAAAAAAGAGAGGUAGGGGGAGUUUUAAAACAAAAGAGAGAGUGACGGAAAAGGGGGAAGGUAUGUGCUAUUUAUCUGCUCAAGGAGAGCAAAGUGCCACAUUUUGUGCUGCAUCAGUGAUUGAUGGCCGCCAUUAUCCCACCCAAUGGGUGUAAGCAGGGGAUAUUAGCACACGGUUUCCACACCCAGAUGAAACAAGCAGAGUUCUCCACAGUGGGGAUACCCGGAGCCACAUGGACAAUGGAGUGUGAAAGCAUGCAAGGCAUAAAGAUUGGUGGAGAGAGAUGUAAUAAGACUAGGGGAGGGAAAAAAGGAGAUAACGGAAAAGAAUAAAGUUCCUGUUGUUAUAGAAUAUCCUGUAGGGUUUUAAAUAUAAUGGUCUGUCUUAACAUGGACCACCACAUGGUGUGAUAUGACAUCCAUUGUACAAAGGGUCUGAGGCAGAUAUGCUAGUUCAGGGCACUGCAGUGGGAUGCAAACAAUGAGGCCUGUAAUUAUAGACCGAGCACACUCCACACGUUCAUUUAACACAGAGGGAAACUACCUGAAAUAGAUGGAAUUUCAGUCUACGUGGCGUAUUGUGCAGUGAAACCACACGCCUCUCUGGGUUGAAAAUUGUGUAAUGUCCAAAAUUAAAUUCCUACUGUUGUUGUCCUUUUGCACGCACAGUAGCCAGAAAGGACAAACCACUCUGCUCUACCUUCAAGGUAAAACCUUCUCUUUUAAAGUAUAACCAUGUGUGAAGGAGUAAUAAUCCAAGGGAUAAAAUGGUCCUGUUAAUUCUAAAAGUAAUCCCACUUUGCUAACGAGCGGACUCUGUGCCAUCCAUCGUUGCAGGAAGCUGCAUCUCAUCUCACAGCGUGCAUUGAAAUGACAAAGCGAGCAAAUCAGAGAGGCAUUAAAACACAGGAUAUGUAGGAUAUAUCCUGUGUAUGGAUUAGUUCCCGUACGCCACUUUCCAAGGCGCGCAAAAGACCCAGGAGGUUUUCAUCACUGCAAGUUUCCAUAGAAACCCCAGACGAUUAAGGGUAUUGUAUGAAAAUGCAAAAUACUGGAAUAACCGCAUUGCUCUUUCGUUCUUCAAGGCUUUAUCUUUGGCAGAUGAAACAACAAGUAGGUGUUUUCAUGUCUGUUGUUUUAUUACAAGCUAGAGUACAAAUAUUUGAAAGAAGAGCAAAUUAAUCAAUGAUGGCGUUGACAAUCAUCAAUAACUCUUUCCUGUGGUGAUUGUGUGAUGCGACAGAAAAAAGUUGUGUAAAAAUCCUAUUUCCGUUCAAUAACAUUUAUUGCUUCAAUGCAAUUGUUCAUACAGCAAUGCUGCACCUGUAUUUCCCUUCAUUUGACUUUUCAGCUCUCACAUUCAAGUGAAAAUAAAACACUCCAACAUGCAGUGGUCUGUAUCACCCUGGGCCUUCAACCUACGCUUUUCUUUCUCAGAAAUGAGUGAGACUCAAAGUCAAAGAGGAUGGCCCUCAAAUCAAACCAUCAACACGAAGUGUUGCGCUGAUUCAGAAGUACAGAACAAGUCUAUACACUCUCAACGCGAAGCCCAGGUGCGUGAUUCUCUCAAAAUGCUGCAAUUUCUUUAUCAAUCUUGUCCUCACGUCAGCGGAGCACAUAUGAGGUUGAAACAGCAGUGGGAUUCAGACAGACGAGUCUCAGCAACCCCUAACCCCGUCUCAGUCCAUUCACCAGCUGUGACUCACCCACGCCGCCGCUCCCCCUCUGUGUUUAUCUCUAAAUAAAACAAGUCAACAAAAUGAUGGCUGCAAAGCAAUCAAAACGCAGACCUCGCUGUGUGCAUUUGAUUGAGAACUGAGAGGAGGUGAGGAGAGGUGAUGCUGAGAAAACUGUAAUUCUGAACUACUAAGACUUCCUCUCAAAUGCAGCGAAAGUGGCAAUGUGUCAACAUCAGGAGGGGAUUAUUUGUUUUCGGUAGUAAAGGAGGUCUGGAGGGUACGAGUACACGCGGUCACUACUGGAAAGAUGAUGUGAUGGCACCGGGGAAACGGUAUUUAGGCUUCAAUCGGUUUGUCUCUAAUGCAACCACAGGGGCCACCUCUGGACAGACCACCCAGGGGCCCGAGCCUUUAGGCCUGCGUUUCAAAGGGACUUGGAAUUUUUGUGGAACGUGAAGCUUACGUAAACAAAGAGUGAAUGAGUACAACGAGAUGUAAUAUGACCACAAAAGGGGGAAGGAAAUAACCACGGAGGCGCACAUUAAUCAUAGAGACUACAAAAGGACUUCAAAGAGACUCAAAACAACUAAAAAGAGAUGCAAAACAAUUGUGCAGAAAUGGCG
ensembl:lncRNA